AUGAAUGAAUAAGGACUUAGUUUUAUAAAGUUCGGANUAAUUAAUGAUUAUGACAUUGAUUAUUUUUAAGUCUUGACUAAAUAUCGUGCCAGCAGUCGCGGUAAUACGAUGGAGACAAGUGUUAGUCAUCUUUAUUAGGUAUAAAGGGUACCUAGACGGUAAAUAAUAGCCUUGUAUUUAUAGAUAGGGUACUUUUUUACUUGAGUUUUAUAGGAGAGGAAAAUAUUAGAACUAUAGGAGUAAGGAUGAAAUAUUUUGAUACUUAUGGGACUGAGAGAGGCGAAAGCAACCCUCUAUCUUAAAACUGACGUUGAGGGACGAAGGCUUGGGUAACGAAUAGGAUUAGAUACCCUAGUAGUCCAAGCAGAUAAUGAUGAGUGUCAUAGACUAGGUUAUGGUUAUUACUUAGUGUAUAAAUGAAAGUGUAAGCACUCCACCUCAAGAGUAAUACGGCAACGUAGGAACUGAAAUCAUUAGACCGUUUCUGAGAACAGUAGUGAAGUAUGUUGUUUAAUUCGAUAACCCACGAAAAAUCUUACCACAAUUUGAAUAUUAGUAAUUUAUUAUUAAUACAAGCGCUGCACGGCUGUCUUCAGUUAAUGUCGUGAGACUAUGGUUAGCUCCAUUAAAUUUACGUAAGCCCUUGCUUUAUUUUUAAAUAAAGUAGUUCACCGCUAUAUAUGGUUUUUAUAAUA
rnacentral:rRNA from 1 species